ensembl:lncRNA
AGCCCAGCAGGCCCGCACUCCAUUCCCCAUCCCCAUGGGAUGGGUUGCAUCCCAUGCACGCAACCAGGGCUCUUGCUUGGAGGCUCGCACCAACGGUGCUCUCUAUAUUCCAUAGUAUGUGGCUGUUACCUCUAUCGCAGAGUUGUUUGUUUGUUUUUUUUUUAUUUUUUAUUAAGUUUUACAUUUUAAUUCUAGCAUAGGUAGCAUACAGCGUCGUAUUAGUUUCAGGUGUGCAGUUCUAUACAUUAGUGGGUGCUCAUCAUACGUGUACUCUUUAGUCCUCGUUACCUAUUUCAUCCACUCCCCCACCCACGCCCCUCUUCUAGCCCAUAUUUUAUGUCUUUGGGUUUUGUGUUAUAGAUAUGUGUUGAUAGGCCUGCCUCUUUUUGUCAGACUGGAAGUCUCUGUAAAUUAGGACGUGUGUCUUUUUCAUCUCUGUGUCCGAGUCAGUAACGAGCACAGUGUCCUGCUUAUCAACAUUUAUAAUGUGUCUGUUAAAUGAAUGUAGGAGUGAGACGGUGACUGACUUGCAGGCAGUGCUCUGGCUUCCGAUUUGCUGGCAGACAUCCCUCUUCCUUGGUCAAUCAGUGGUGGUGAAUCCAGAAAUCCCUCCAUCCAUGCUUUUAUUUUUUCUUUCUUUUUUUUUUUUAGGUUCAUGUGUUUUUCAUGGUUCUCGUGACCUCUGCAGAAGCCCCAGCUCUGGAAAGAAAGAAGGAGCUGUUAAAUCCAGAACAUUUUCCUUAGAAUGUAUUUAUCAAAUCAGAGAUGAAAAGAAAAUGAAGGAACUGGGCCACAAGGAAGAAAAGAAGCCUUCCCAUUGGAGAUCUUCCCAGAGAGAUGAUCCUUCUGCCUUCAGUUCAAUUGGCCUUUUUGGGGGCGCUUCAUGCUUGUUGACCAUGACGGUAGGAGGCUAAAGAGGCCACCGAACGAAUGCUCCCCUUGCUGUCAAGGGAUUCCUAGACUCGAAGUGUCAAGUAUAUUGAACAUCAGUGAGUAGUUUUGACAAGCAUUUGUUCCUGGGCCUUCCAGAUUGAUCGUUUUGUGUGUCUGUUUCCACUGCUUCAUGAUGGAGAUGGAGAAGGAUGGGAGAAGGAUCGCUGGAUGUGGAUAGGAAGGUCUUGAGGAUGAAAUGAAAUGAAGGAAUGCGUGUGAAUGCUACUAGCGCAGUGUAUGCUACUUAUAAAUGUCAACAACAUGUGGGUAUUUUUUUUUUAUUGUAUCAAAGAUAAGCGGAAGACAUUAUUUAGAUUAACUCCUUGGUAAGAGCUUGGAGGUGGGAAGGGAGUUGGAUGUCACUUAAUUUUUCUUAGUCAACCAGCCAAACACGUACUGUGUGUAUCUACCAGAUAUGGUGGAGCCAUAUAAGCAGAGCCAUAUAAACCAGGUUGCUGCAGGAACACAUGGGAGGAGGGACACUAAACCCAGAUCUGGGAUGCCAGGAACUGACUGGUUAAAGAAACUGAUACUUGAAGAAUAUUGUGAAAGAAGGCACAUCUUUAGAUGUAAUUUUCGCAAUUUCCAGUAGUUGCGUCUAUGAAAUAAAUGAACUAUUGGUUCAGAAACUCA